UACGUAGGGUGCGAGCGUUAAUCGGAAUUACUGGGCGUAAAGCGUGCGCAGGCGGUUUUGUAAGACCGAGGUGAAAUCCCCGGGCUUAACCUGGGAACUGCCUUUGUGACUGCAAGGCUUGAGUGCGGCAGAGGGGGAUGGAAUUCCGCGUGUAGCAGUGAAAUGCGUAGAUAUGCGGAGGAACACCGAUGGCGAAGGCAAUCCCCUGGGCCUGCACUGACGCUCAUGCACGAAAGCGUGGGGAGCAAACAGG
rnacentral:rRNA from 1 species